CCUACGGGCGGCAGCAGUGAGGAAUAUUGGUCAAUGGGCGAGAGCCUGAACCAGCCAAGUCGCGUGAGGGAGUACUGCCCUAUGGGUUGUAAACCUCUUUUGUCGGGGAGCAAAAGCCGGACGUGUCCGGCUGUGAGAGUACCCGAAGAAAAAGCAUCGGCUAACUCCGUGCCAGCAGCCGCGGUAAUACGGAGGAUGCGAGCGUUAUCCGGAUUUAUUGGGUUUAAAGGGUGCGCAGGCGGAUUUUUAAGUCAGCGGUAAAAUCGUGGGGCUCAACCCCAUCCAGCCGUUGAAACUGGGGAUCUAGAGUGUGCGAGAGGUAUGCGGAAUGCGUGGUGUAGCGGUGAAAUGCAUAGAUAUCACGCAGAACCCCGAUUGCGAAGGCAACAUACCGGUGCACAACUGACGCUCAGGCACGAAAGCGUGGGUAUCGAACAGGAUUAGAUACCCGAGUAGUC
rnacentral:rRNA from 1 species